CCGGCGACCGGCGCGACGGGUGAGUAACACGUAUGGAACCUGCCCGCAGCGAGGGGGAUAAGCGGAAGAAAUUCCGUCUAAUACCGCGUAACAACGUUGGGAGGCAUCUCCCGAUGUUUAAAGAUUUAUCGGCUGCGGAUGGCCAUGCGGCGCAUUAGCUAGUCGGCGGGGUAACGGCCCACCGAGGCGACGAUGCGUAGGGGUUCUGAGAGGAAGGUCCCCCACACUGGUACUGAGACACGGCCCAAACUCCUACGGAAGGCAGCAG
rnacentral:rRNA from 1 species